rnacentral:rRNA from 1 species
GACGAACGCUGGCGGCGUGCUUAACACAUGCAAGUCGAACGGAAAGGCCCUGCUUUUGUGGUGUGCUCGAGUGGCGAACGGGUGUGUAACACGUGAGUAACCUGCCCUUGACUUUGGGAUAACUUCAGGAAACUGGGGCUUACACCGGAUAGGAGCUCCUGCUGCAUGGUGGGGGUUGGAAAGUUUCGGCGGUUGGGGAUGGACUCGCGGCUUAUCAGCUUGUUGGUGGGGUAGUGGCUUACCAAGGCUUUGACGGGUAGCCGGCCUGAGAGGGUGACCGGCCACAUUGGGACUGAGAUACGGCCCAGACUCCUACGGGAGGCAGCAGUGGGGAAUAUUGCACAAUGGGCGGAAGCCUGAUGCAGCAACGCCGCGUGCGGGAUGACGGCCUUCGGGUUGUAAACCGCUUUCGCCUGUGACGAAGCGUGAGUGACGGUAAUGGGUAAAGAAGCACCGGCUAACUACGUG